AGCUUCUAGUAUAAAUUCAAUCCAUGCUUCAACCCGCAUUCAUAUUCUGUUGAUAAAUGAGAUGCACACACUGUAAGAUUUCUGACAAAUACAAAAAUGACAAAAUUAUGGAUUUUAAUUUUGAUCUUCAGCACCAUGUAUCCAGUCCAACCUGGUAGACGCUGGGUUACUGCCCAAUCCCUCACAGAGUCACCAGUUUAUCAGCCUGAUGAAGAGCUCAGUGUGGAUAUCGGAACCUCGGCUACUCUCCGGUGUUGUAUUUCUGAAAAUACAAUUGGGAUAAUUGCCUGGUUUAAACAACCAAACAAACAAAAACUUCGGAUUAUGGUCAGAAUAUUUAAAAGUACUGGAGAAACAUUUUAUGAUGGAUUCCAAAAAUCAGAUUUUCAUAUUCAAAGAUUUUCAAACUGCUUCAAUAUGACCAUUUUAAAAACCACUCAGUCUGAUGAAGCCAUGUACUACUGUGCCCUGAUGGAAAUUAACCCUGUGUUUGCAGAUGGAACUUAUUUAAAAAUUAAAGGUGGGAUUUUCACUAAAAUUUAUUCAGCUACUGAAACAUCUGUACCAGAUCUGUGUGAUAAUUCAAUCGUGUUUAAACCAACACUGCAUGGAAACAGCACUAACAUGAAAACAGGUAAGAUGUCUCAUAAUUCACCAUUAAUUAAUUAAUCUUAAUUCAUAAUACUAAAAUGCAAGAUACAUAUAGAAAAUAAAUUUUUGAUACUCUAUAAUGCGGUGACAUUACAGUAUAACAGAAGUAACUCAGUCUUUUGUAUUCGACAGUGCUG